rnacentral:ncRNA from 1 species
ACAUGCUGUGCGGAAGAGAUCGCAUUUUGGCGACGCCGACGGAGCAACCGCCCCGGAAACUCUCAGGCAAAAAGGACUGCACAACGCGA